rnacentral:rRNA from 1 species
CCUACGGGAGGCAGCAGUGGGGAAUCUUGCGCAAUGGGCGAAAGCCUGACGCAGCAACGCCGCGUGCGGGAAGAAGGCCUUCGGGUUGUAAACCGCUUUCAGCAGGAACGAAAAUGACGGUACCUGCAGAAGAAGGAGCGGCCAACUACGUGCCAGCAGCCGCGGUGACACGUAGGCUCCAAGCGUUGUCCGGAUUUAUUGGGCGUAAAGAGCUCGUAGGCGGUUCAGUAAGUCGGGUGUGAAAACUCUGGGCUCAACCCAGAGCCUGCAUUCGAAACUGCUGUGACUAGAGUUUGGUAGGGGAGCGGGGAAUCCCUAGUGUAGCGGUGAAAUGCGCAGAUAUUAGGAGGAACACCGGUGGCGAAAGCGCCGCUCUGGGCCAAUACUGACGCUGAGGAGCGAAAGCGUGGGUAGCAAACAGGAUUAGAUACCCUGGUAGUCCACGCCGUAAACGAUGGGCACUAGGUGUGGGUUUCAACUAACGAAAUCCGUGCCGUCGCUAACGCAUUAAGUGCCCCGCCUGGGGAGUACGGUCGCAAGACUAAAACUCAAAGGAAUUGACGG